AUGCGCAGCCGGUGCGUCAACCACGCGAGGAACGUCUGCGACCGCGCCGUCUCGCUCCUCCCCCGCGUCGACCAGCUGUGGCACAAGUACAUCCACAUGGAGGAGCUGCUUGGCGCCAUCGCCAAUGCUCGCCUGCUCUUCGAGCGCUGGAUGGGAUGGCGUCCGGACAUUGCUGCCUGGAGCUCGUACAUCAAAUUUGAGCUGCGGUAUGGGGAGGUUGAACGUGCAAGGGCGAUCUAUGAGCGCUUUGUCACCGAGCACCCACGGCCCGACACGUUCGUCCGAUACGCCAAGUUCGAGAUGAAACAUGGAGGAGUAGAGCGGGCGCGGCGCGUGUAUGAGCAUGCAUCGGAACAGCUUGUGGAUGAUGAAGACGUGGAGGUUGUGUUUGUAGCAUUUGCUGAGUUCGAGGAACAACGCCGGGAGGUGGAGCGGGCUCGUGCGAUAUACAAGUAUGCACUUGACAGAGUGCCGAAGGGCAAGGCUGAGGACCUUUACAGGAAGUUCCUGGCAUUUGAGAAACGAUUUGGUGACCGUGAGGGGAUUGAGGAAGCCAUUGUGGGCAAGCAAAGGUUCCAAUAUGAAGAUGACGUGAGGAAGAACCCCCUCAAUUACGACUCAUGGUUCGAUUACAUCAGGCUGGAGGAGAGCGCUGGUAAUAAGGACAGGAUAAGGGAUGUGUACGAGAGGGCUAUCGCAAACGUUCCCCCUGCACAAGAGAAGCGGUACUGGCAGACAUAUAUAUACCUUUGGAUAAACUAUGCUCUGUAUGAGGAACUUGAUGCACAGGACAUGGAGAGGACCGGGGAGGUCUAUAGGGCGUGUCUGAAACUCAUUCCGCACAAGAAGGUUACAUUUGCGAAGUUGUGGCUGAUGGCUGCGCAGUUUGAGAUAAGACAGAAGAACAUGAAGGCUGCACGCCGGAUUCUCGGCAAUGCAAUAGGUAUGGUGCCCAAGGGGAAAUUAUUCAAGGAGUACAUUGAGAUCGAGCUUCACCUCGGCAGUUUCGACCGCUGUAGAACUCUAUAUGAGAAGUAUAUUGAUUGGUCUCCAGCAAACUGUUAUGCCUGGAGGAAGUAUGCUGAGCUCGAAAAGAACCUUCACGAGGCUGACCGCGCUCGAUCAGUAUAUGAGCUUGGUAUCGCACAGCCAUCCCUUGAUACGCCUGAGGUUCUUUGGAAGGAGUACUUGCAGUUUGAAAUUGAUGAAGGUGAGUUUGGUAGGGCAAGGGAACUCUACGAGAGACUGCUUGAUAGAACAAAGCAUCUGAAGGUAUGGAUCAGCUACGCCGAAUUCGAGGCCUCGGCUGGCUUGGCAGAAGACAAUGGAAGUGAGGAACAGCAGAUCGAGCGGGUCCGGAUGUGUCGAGCUGUCUUUGAAAGGGCAUUCGACUAUUUCAGGACCAAUGCUGCAGAGCUAAAGGAAGAAAGAGCAAUGCUCCUGGAAGAAUGGCUCAAAAAAGAGUUGGGUUUUGGUGAUCUUGGUGAUGUCGCCCUAGUGCAGAAGAAGGCGCCAAGGAAAGUGAAGAGGAAGAGACCACUGCCCACAGACGAUGGCUCCAAAAUUGCGUACGAGGGGUACGUUGAUUAUAUCUUCCCUGAUGAAGUCACGCCGGCGUCGAACCUCAAGAUAUUGGAAGCUGCUUACAAUUGGAAGGAGAGAAGACUGUUUGAUCGACAUGUUGAGUUUCACAAUUAA
rnacentral:rRNA from 1 species